AACGAACGCUGGCGGCAUGCCUAACACAUGCAAGUCGAACGAGACCUUCGGGUUUAGUGGCGCACGGGUGCGUAACGCGUGGGAACCUGCCCCUAGGUUCGGAAUAACUCCUCGAAAGGGGUGCUAAUACCGGAUAAUGUCUUCGGACCAAAGAUUUAUCGCCUUUGGAUGGGCCCGCGUUGGAUUAGCUAGUUGGUAGGGUAAAAGCCUACCAAGGCGACGAUCCAUAGCUGGUCUGAGAGGAUGAUCAGCCACACUGGGACUGAGACACGGCCCAGACUCGUACGGGAGGCAGCAGUGGGGAAUAUUGGACAAUGGGCGAAAGUCUGAUCCAGCAAUGCCGCGUGAGUGAUGAAGGCCUUAGGGUUGUAAAGCUCUUUUACCAGGGAUGAUAAUGACAGUACCGGGAGAAUAAGCUCCGGCUAACUCCGUG
rnacentral:rRNA from 1 species